UACGUAGGUGGCAAGCGUUGUCCGGAUUUACUGGGCGUAAAGGGCGCGUAGGCGGCGCAACAAGUCACUUGUGAAAUCUCCGGGCUUAACCCGGAGCGGCCAAGUGAUACUGUCGUGCUAGAGUGCGGAAGGGGCUACUGGAAUUCUCGGUGUAGCGGUGAAAUGCGUAGAUAUCGAGAGGAACACCUGCGGCGAAGGCGGGUUGCUGGGCCGACACUGACGCUGAUGCGCGAAAGCCAGGGGAGCGAACGGG
rnacentral:rRNA from 1 species